CUUCAUCUCUAAUUGCUAUAUUUUGAGCUAAGAUUUUUUGUUGUUGCUGUUUUGACACGUUAGAGAAGUGAUGUUUUGACUCAACUUCUCAGUAAUUACAAUUAAUGUGACAUUAUUAAUGUAAUGUGAUUAUUUGUUAACAAAAACAAGUGCUUUGUAACACCAAAACUAGUGGCAACUGAGCUGCGACCAACUUGAAGGAGACGAAACCUUAACUUUGCUGGAUUAUUUAAACACAUCAUCCUGACAUUUUGUCAAACAUUACAUGGAAUUGUUAAGCACAGUAUUCAAACCACCCACACUAACUGGAGAUUGAACUGCAAGAAUUGAGGAUUCUGCAGUUCACCAUUGAUAAAUAUGGAUUUAUCAAUGGGUCAAAGACCCCAGCCACCCCAGUAAAGACUGUUCUCUCUACUACUGCAUGGCAAGCAGUACCGGAGUGCCAUGUCUAGGACAAAAAGGCUUCUCAACAGUUUUUACCCCCAAGCCAUAAGACUCCUGAACAG
rnacentral:lncRNA from 1 species